AGUCGUAACAAGGUUUCCGUAGGUGAACCUGCGGAAGGAUCAUUAACGAGUUCUGAAAGGGGUUGUAGCUGGCUUUUCCAGCAUGUGCUCGCCCUGUUCAAUCCACUCUACACCUGUGCACCAACUGUAGGCUUUUGGUGGGCUUGCUUUCCUUGUCCUUUACCGGGCGUUGAGGGCUUGUUAACCUUGGCUUGCGUUUUCAUACAAACCCUGUAAAAAGUAAAAAGAAUGUGUAUUGCGAUAUAACGCAUUUAUAAUACAACUUUCAGCAACGGAUCUCUUGGCUCUC
rnacentral:misc_RNA from 1 species